UACGGAGGAUGCGAGCGUUAAUCGGAAUCACUGGGCGUAAAGCGCACGUAGGCGGCUUGGUAAGUCAGAUGUGAAAGCCCCGGGCUCAACCUGGGAACUGCAUUUGAUACUGCUUGGCUCGAGUCUGAUAGAGGGGGGUGGAAUUCCAGGUGUAGCGGUGAAAUGCGUAGAUAUCUGGAGGAACUCCAGUGGCGAAGGCGGCCCCCUGGAUCAAGACUGACGCUGAGGUGCGAAAGCGUGGGGAGCAAACAGG
rnacentral:rRNA from 1 species